GUACACUGACACAUCUUUUCAAAAGACCUCACAGUGUUCAGGGUCACAGAGCAAGUCGGAGUGAAUGGAGCUCGUUACUGUGGUCUGAAUGAGAUGUGUAAUAUAAUAUCUGAAUGUGGUCAUUCGUAGAUAUGGUAUAGAUAUUCUUGGUUUGAUAUGUGAGGCGCUGGCGUCAACAUACAGCCAAUCAAUCAAUGUAAUGAAGAGGAGGCCAAAAGAAAAGAAAUGUUCCAAUGACUCUCGAUCAUCCGAUGAUUAAUGAGCCACGACCUUCCAAGACAUGCAAGUAAAAUCUUAAAAUCUUUAUCUUAAUAAAGUUUUGUAAUAAUGUGAACUCCACCUAAUGUUGCAUGUUUAGCCCCGUCUCCACCAAACCCUUUCAGUCCAGCACCUGUGGAGCCAGCAGUAAGCCUUCAGACAUGGUACCUAGACCCUCGGUGUGUUCAGACAGUCCUCUUAAAUGUGGGCGGGGUUGUUGUCACUCACUGCUCCGUCCAGCACUCGCUGUAUUUCCUCAUCAGCGGUGACACAGAUGGAAGUCUGCACCUGGUUUAUCGUCCACAGAACGAGGCUGCACGCCCACAUUUUCACAACAAAAUAGAACAGGCUGCAGUGAGAGUCUCUCUCCAUGGGAUAUUUCAAAAUAGCAGCUUUGUGCAUUUAGUCCUUCUCAGGCAAGCUCAGGGGUUUAGUGUUGCUGUAGCCCACAGGAAGUGAGGAUUAGAAUAUAUGACCUUCACAUAAUCCGCUCCAAAUGAAUCUAUAUUUUUAAAGUCAUUACUAAAAGUGUGUGUCAUAUAAAAACUAAAGUGAUGGUCAAAGUUGUCACAGUGAAAUUUAAGGUGUGCUGAUGGAUUCACGUCAUCAACUCAUGCAUUGAGUAACAUUACAAGUUAACGUUCCACCUUAAAAGUUGCCGGCAGUCGGCCCAGUGAAUGAAGUGAUUUUUUUCUCUUUCAUUUUAUAGUUGUAGUUUACUGAUGUAUGAACAGAGGUUACAUAAAACCAGAGUGACCGUCCUCUACUGACCAAUCAGACUGCAGUGUUCACAGCUCCACCUUUUAGUACCAGAUCUGUGUGCUAGGUACCCCAACAGAGGGGGGACCAAACAUGGGGACGCUAAGGAACGCUUCUGUUGGCACCAUCCACAACUUUUCACAGUGGAGACAGAAACAAAACGGACUGAACUGAACUGCUCGGUGGAAACGGGGCUUAUUAAAAGAUGUUUUGUAUCAGCAUCAACAGUGGGACUUUUUUGGGAUCUGAUUCUCCAUAAGGAUCAAACUGGGACAAGCUGUUGAGUGUUGGAUCACGUGUUGUUCUGCCUCGAUUGUUGAGCGCCUCCUAAAUGUAAAGUUGAAAUGUAGGAUGUGGAGACUGUUCUGGAGGAACGUGGAGUGCGAGCAGUACUCUGAGCACUAAACUAAAGCAGAGACUGAACCCAUAUGGUCCUCCAUUUGGAUGUGUGAAUAAUGAGUGAGUUAAUGUAUGGAUAUGUGUGAGUGAGUGAGUGAGUGAGUGAGUGAGUGAAUGAGUGUGUGUCUGUUGUGUUUUUGAGAAAUGUUCCAACACUAUCCUGUAGCACAGAUAUUCUAUAUUUAUACUCCUGUACUCUUGUUUAUUAAUGUUCUGUGGUUACUGUUGUUAUUGUUUAAUACAAAAUAAGCAAUAAACAUGUGCUACACAUAA